GGAAAGACAGCUGUGCUUCUGUCAAGUGGAGGAAAACCUCGGCGUAAUAACUCACGGCGCGGUGACAGGAGCCUCUGCGAUGGCCUGUACAGAUACGGCUGAGCCCCGAGGCCCCGCCGCUCGCAGCUGCCCAUUCUCCAGGAAGAGGAACAGCAGACCGUUCAACUGUCAUCUGCCAGGCCUUUAUCAUAGCCGGCCUAUCCUGCUUUAAACAAAGAAAACAGCAGCUUAUGCACAUGGCCAGUCUGUAUGUGGGAGUAAACGACCUUUCCUGAGUGUGGUUCUCCG